rnacentral:rRNA from 1 species
AUGGCAGAAUGCUUCAAUAAGGUGCUCAAGGGUGUACAUGCAUUACCCGUGACGGCAAUAGUUCAAUACACAUUUUACAAGAUGAAUGGAUACUUUUUAAAGUACUCAAUGGAGACGGAUAAGCAGAUUGCUAGUGAGAACAAGGAUAAGUACAAGUACAAUUUCCCACCAAAGGUUGAAGAAUGGUUGGAAUUUCAAUCACAAAAGGCAGACUUCCAAGAAGCACUAUAUGACGACAACGAUUGGAAGUAUGAGGUGAAAGAGCCUGGAGGAACCACAAACGAUGGCCACCAACACGGAGGCCAGGCUUUCAAGGUCUCCCUAACACGGUGUGAUUGCAGCUGCAUGAGGCCAUCGUUGCUUCAUCUCCCAUGCUCGCACUUGUUAAACGCAUCCUGUGUUAGGAAUGUCGAUGUCAAUCAUGAUUGUAAAGAAUACAUGGGCACCACGGUUUCAGCCAUACUUGGACCAAUCACAAUGGCCGGAGUAUCAUGGAGUUCAACUAUGGCCGGACCCGGAAUUGAAGGUCGUUAG